rnacentral:rRNA from 1 species
GACGAACGCUGGCGGCGUGCUUAACACAUGCAAGUCGAACGGAAAGGCCCUGCUUUUGUGGGGUGCUCGAGUGGCGAACGGGUGAGUAACACGUGAGUAACCUGCCCUUGACUUUGGGAUAACUUCAGGAAACUGGGGCUAAUACCGGAUAGGAGCUCCUGCUGCAUGGUGGGGGUUGGAAAGUUUCGGCGGUUGGGGAUGGACUCGCGGCUUAUCAGCUUGUUGGUGGGGUAGUGGCUUACCAAGGCUUUGACGGGUAGCCGGCCUGAGAGGGUGACCGGCCACAUUGGGACUGAGAUACGGCCCAGACUACUACGGGAGGCAGCAGUGGGGAAUAUUGCACAAUGGGCGGAAGCCUGAUGCAGCAAAGCCGCGUGCGGGAUGACGGCCUUCGGGUUGUAAACCGCUUUCGCCUGUGACGAAGCGUGAGUGACGGUAAUGGGUAAAGAAGCACCGGCUAACUACGUG